rnacentral:rRNA from 1 species
CGGGAGGCAGCAGUUAGGAAUCUUCGGCAAUGGGGGAAACCCUGACCGAGCGACACUGCUUGAAGGAUGAAGGUCUUCGGAUCGUAAACUUCUGAACCUGCGACGAGAAAUGACGGUAGCAGGCUAAUAGCACCGGCUAACUCCGUGCCAGCAGCCGCGGUAAUACGGAGGGUGCAAGCGUUAUCCGGAAUCACUGGGCGUAAAGGGCGCGUAGGCGGUUUGUUAAGUCCGAUGUUAAAGACCGAGGCUCAACCUCGACACGGCGUUGGAUACUGGCAAGCUGGACGGUUGGAGAGGAAGGUAGAAUUACCAGUGUAGCGGUGGAAUGCGUAGAUACUGGUAGGAAUACCCAUUGCGAAGGCAGCCCUCUGGACAACACGUGACGCUGAGGCGCGAAAGUGUGGGGAGCAAACCGGAUUAGAUACCCGGGUAGUCCACACCCUAAAC